rnacentral:rRNA from 1 species
GACGAACGCUGGCGGCGUGCUUAACACAUGCAAGUCGAACGGUGAAGCGCCUUCCUUUUUGGUGGGUGUGGAUGAGUGGCGAACGGGUGAGUAACACGUGAGUAACCUGCCCCCUUCUUCUGGAUAACCGCAUGAAAGUGUGGCUAAUACGGGUUAUUCUGGGUCUGUCGCAUGAUGGGUCUGGGAAAGAUAUUGUUUCGGUGGGGGAUGGGCUCGCGGCCUAUCAGCUUGUUGGUGGGGUGAUGGCCUGCCAAGGCGGUGACGGGUAGCCGGCCUGAGAGGGUGGACGGUCACACUGGGACUGAGACACGGCCCAGACUCCUACGGGAGGCAGCAGUGGGGAAUAUUGCACAAUGGGCGCAAGCCUGAUGCAGCGACGCCGCGUGAGGGAUGGAGGCCUUCGGGUUGUGAACCUCUUUCGCCAGUGAAGCAGGCCUGCCUCGUUUGUGGGUGGGUUGACGGUAGCUGGAUAAGAAGCGCCGGCUAACUACGUG